CAAUAGCGUAUAUUAAAGUUGUUGCAGUUAAAAAGCUCGUAGUUGGAUUUGUGGUUCGUCCCGCCGGCUGGGUCAUUGACUUUUGCUGUGCUGGUCGUCCAUCCUUGGGUGGAAUCUGUGUGGCAUUAGGUUGUCGCGCAGGGGAUGCCCAUCGUUUACUGUGAAAAAAUUAGAGUGUUCAAGGCAGGCUUAUGCCGUUGAAUAUAUUAGCAUGGAAUAAUGAUAUAGGACCUUGGUACUAUUUUGUUGGUUUGCGCACUGAGGUAAUGAUUAAUAGGGACAGUUGGGGGUAUUCGUAUUCCAUUGUAAGAGGUGAAAUUCUUGGAUUUUUGGAAGACGAACUACUGCGAAAGCAUUUACCAAGGAUGUUUUCAUUAA
rnacentral:rRNA from 1 species